GACGAACGCUGGCGGCGUGCUUAACACAUGCGAGUCGAACGGAAAGGCCCUGCUUUUGUGGGGUGCUCGAGUGGCGAACGGGUGAGUAACACGUGAGUAACCUGCCCUUGACUUUGGGAUAACUUCAGGAAACUGGGGCUAAUACCGGAUAGGAGCUCCUGCUGCAUGGUGGGGGUUGGAAAGUUUCGGCGGUUGGGGAUGGACUCGCGGCUUAUCAGCUUGUUGGUGGGGUAGUGGCUUACCAAGGCUUUGACGGGUAGCCGGCCUGAGAGGGUGACCGGCCACAUUUGGACUGAGAUACGGCCCAGACUCCUACGGGAGGCAGCAGUGGGGAAUAUUGCACAAUGGGCGGAAGCCUGAUGCAGCAACGCCGCGUGCGGGAUGACGGCCUUCGGGUUGUAAACCGCUUUCGCCUGUGACGAAGCGUGAGUGACGGUAAUGGGUAAAGAAGCACCGGCUAACUACGUG
rnacentral:rRNA from 1 species